GUAGGGCAGUCAAGAGGUGCGUCUCCGCUUCGCCCAUGGCUAGCUCUCUUAUUCUUAUUUCAGCCUAUUUAUUGUAGCCAAACCCUUCUUUUGGGAGAAAGCUAGAGCUUAGGGUAAAAAUCUUCUAUGAAAUAGGUCAUAUAUGGUAUAGAUAAGACUCAUUUUCAUCUAUAUCCCACCCGCUUUCCAGUUAGUUCCUCUUCAAUGCUUUCAUCAUAAGGUCGAUUAGCACAUAUCAAAAGCCAGCCUCAGAAGCUAGCGAAAGCAAGCUAGCCAGGGAUGUGGGGUUAGCGUUAGCACGGUAGCGGUUAGUGGAUCUCUAUGGCUGAAAUCACUUUCCAUUCUUUUCAUUCCAUUCCGUUGAGCUCCCUUGAAUUCCCAUCCGGAGAGUGAGAGACCAUUAAAGGCGCUGAAAGCCGUUCGCUAUUGGAAGACUCUUGCCAACCUCCUAGGUGUUUUAUGGAAAAGGAAAACUUGUAGAUGAUUUUUAGGCCAAACAACAGGCUUCUUAUAUAAG
rnacentral:lncRNA from 1 species